UACAGAGGUCUCAAGCGUUGUUCGGAUUCAUUGGGCGUAAAGGGUGCGUAGGCGGGUCUUUAAGUCAGGGGUGAAAUCCUGGAGCUCAACUCCAGAACUGCCUUUGAUACUGAAGAUCUUGAGUUCGGGAGAGGUGAGUGGAACUGCGAGUGUAGAGGUGAAAUUCGUAGAUAUUCGCAAGAACACCAGUGGCGAAGGCGGCUCACUGGCCCGGUACUGACGCUGAUGCUCGAAAGCUAGGGGAGCAAACAGG
rnacentral:rRNA from 1 species